rnacentral:rRNA from 1 species
AGCAGCCGCGGUAAUUCCAGCUCCAAUAGCGUAUAUUAAAGUUGUUGCAGUUAAAAAGCUCGUAGUUGAAUUUCGAGAUCGGCUUACUGGUCGUGCUAUUGUACGUACUGGUAUAAUCGGUUUCUCCUUUCUGACGAACUAUAAUGCCAUUAAUUUGGUGUUUUAGGGAAUCAGGACUGUUACUUUGAAAAAAUUAGAGUGUUUAAAGCAGGCUCACGCUUGAAUACAUUAGCAUGGAAUAACGGAAUAGGACGUUUGAUUCUAUUUUGUGGUUUCUAGGAUCGACGUAAUGAUUAAUAGGGAUAGUUGGGGGCACUAGUAUUCAAUUGUCAGAGGUGAAAUUCUUGGAUUUAUUGAAGACUAACUACUGCGAAAGCAUUUGCCAAGGAUGUUUUCAUUAAUCAAGACGAAAGUUAGGGGAUCGAAGACGAUCAGAUACCGUCG